rnacentral:rRNA from 1 species
GACGAACGCUGGCGGCGUGCUUAACACAUGCAAGUCGAACGGAAAGGCCCUGCUUUUGUGGGGUGCUCGAGUGGCGAACGGGUGAGUAACACGUGAGUAACCUGCCCUUGACUUUGGGAUAACUUCAGGAAACUGGGGCUAAUACCGGAUAGGAGCUCCUGCUGCAUGGUGGGGGUUGGAAAGUUUCGGCGGUUGGGGAUGGACUCACGGCUUAUCAGCUUGUUGGUGGGGUAGUGGCUUACCAAGGCUUUGACGGGUAGCCGGCCUGAGAGGGUGACCGGCCACAUUGGGACUGAAAUACGGCCCAGACUCCUACGGGAGGCAGCAGUGGGGAAUAUUGCACAAUGGGCGGAAGCCUGAUGCAGCAACGCCGCGUGCGGGAUGACGGCCUUCGGGUUGUAAACCGCUUUCGCCUGUGACGAAGCGUGAGUGACGGUAAUGGGUAAAGAAGCACCGGCUAACUACGUG